rnacentral:rRNA from 1 species
AUUGAACGCUGGCGGCAGGCCUAACACAUGCAAGUCGAACGCGUGGCGGACGGGUUAGUAAUGUCUGGGAAACUGCCUGAUGGAGGGGGAUAACUACUGGAAACGGUCGCUAAUACCGCAUACCCUCGGAUGUGCCCAGAUGGGAUUAGCUAGUAGGUGGGGUAAAGGAUCACCUAGGCGAAGAUCCCUAGCUGGUCUGAGAGGAUGACCAGCCACACUGGAACUGAGACACGGUCCAGACUCCUACGGGAGGCAGCAGUGGGGAAUAUUGCACAAUGGGCGCAAGCCUGAUGCAGCCAGGCCGCGUGUAUGAAGAAGGACUUCGGGUUGUAAAGUACUGUCAGCGGGGAGGCGUUACCCGCAGAAGAAGCACCGGCUAACUCCGUGCCAGCAGCCGCGGUAAUUC